UACGGAAGGGGGCUAGCGUUGUUCGGAGUUACUGGGCGUAAAGGGCGCGUAGGCGGCGCACCAAGUCAGGCGUGAAAGCCCUGGGCUCAACCCGGGAAUUGCGCUUGAGACUGGUGUGCUUGAGUACGGGAGAGGAUAGUGGAAUUCCCAGUGUAGAGGUGAAAUUCGUAGAUAUUGGGAAGAACACCGGUGGCGAAGGCGGCUAUCUGGACCGUAGCGUGACGCUGAGGCGCGAAAGCGUGGGGAGCAAACAGGG
rnacentral:rRNA from 1 species